AGUGAACGCUGGCGGUAGGCCUAACACAUGCAAGUCGAACGGCAGCACAGUAAGAGCUUGCUCUUACGGGUGGCGAGUGGCGGACGGGUGAGGAAUACAUCGGAAUCUACUUUUUCGUGGGGGAUAACGUAGGGAAACUUACGCUAAUACCGCAUACGACCUACGGGUGAAAGCAGGGGAUCUUCGGACCUUGCGCGAUUGAAUGAGCCGAUGUCGGAUUAGCUAGUUGGCGGGGUAAAGGCCCACCAAGGCGACGAUCCGUAGCUGGUCUGAGAGGAUGAUAAGCCACACUGGAACUGAGACACGGUCCAGACUCCUACGGGAGGCAGCAGUGGGGAAUAUUGGACAAUGGGCGAAAGCCUGAUCCAGCCAUACCGCGUGGGUGAAGAAGGCCUUCGGGUUGUAAAGCCCUUUUGUUGGGAAAGAAAAGCAGCAGGUUAAUACCCCGCUGUUCUGACGGUACCCAAAGAAUAAGCACCGGCUAACUUCGU
rnacentral:rRNA from 1 species